rnacentral:rRNA from 1 species
UACAGAGGGUGCAAGCGUUACUCGGAAUUACUGGGCGUAAAGCGUGCGUAGACGGUUACAUAAGUCGGGUGUGAAAUCCCCGGGCUUAACCUGGGAACCGCAUUUGUGACUGCAUAGCUGGAGUACGGCAGAGGGGGAUGGAAUUCCGCGUGUAGCAGUGAAAUGCGUAGAUAUGCGGAGGAACACCGAUGGCGAAGGCAGUCCCCUGGGCCUGUACUGACGCUCAUGCACGAAAGCGUGGGGAGCAAACAGG